GAUGAAGAACGUAGCGAAAUGCGAUAAGUAAUGUGAAUUGCAGAAUUCAGUGAACCAUCGAAUCUUUGAACGCACAUUGCGCCCGCCAGUAUUCUGGCGGGCAUGCCUGUCUGAGCGUCAUUUCAACCCUCAUGCCCCUAGGGCGUGGUGUUGGGGAUCGGCCAAAGCCCGCGAGGGACGGCCGGCCCCUAAAUCUAGUGGCGGACCCGUCGUGGCCUCCUCUGCGAAGUAGUGAUAUUCCGCAUCGGAGAGCGAUGAGCCCCUGCCGUUAAACCCCCAACUUUCCAAGGUUGACCUCAGAUCAGGUAGGAAUACCCGCUGAACUUAAGCAUAUCAAUAAGCGGAGGA
rnacentral:misc_RNA from 1 species